GCUCGAUGUUACGCCCUGUCUAUAUUUACACAAGGGCACGAGAACCUCACGACAUCGAUCCUUGCCAUAAAUCAUCACCUCUACCGGGUCUGAAGCUUUGUGCCAUCAUCCGUUUCUGGUGUCACAACUGAGAACAACAUGUUCCGUACCGGAUGUCCGUGUGGCUAACCCCUAUACGAUUAACCGGUGCAAAGCGGUACAGAGGGAGAAGUUUCCCACGGUAGUUGUUUAAUAUCUCGAGGAUCAGGCUUGAAGCAGAUGUAGCCCUGUGCAGGAGCGGAGUGAGUUCCCUGAUGGACGAAGGCAGGUAGUCUUACACGACGGAGCAUCGCCAGGUCUUCAAGAUAACUCUGAGGGAUGCUAAAAGCUCCCCCACAGAUCAAACUCAAAUGGUCUAUCGGUAAUCCUGACGGAAUGAGGAUACACAAAACAAUGUCUUGGGUAUCUUUGCCGAGCUUGUGUAUCUAAAUCCCCCGCCAAGGCCUACAUGGUCACCCAGAAUAAGCUCAG